GGCCAACGAGGCCUCCACGCCCCCUAUGCCCCCACCCUCUCGCUGGAUCUGGCGCCCCCUGCACCAUGAGCAACAGCGGUGGAGCUCGCACGGCUGUGUGUUGCUCUACUGAGAGGGCUUUCUGGAUCCAUGAGGAGAAACGGGGGAGGUCAACGACCAUGGUGGCCGAGGUCUCCAGACUGCCAACCUUGAUGAAGGGGUGAAGGCCUCUCCUCUUCAUCCCCUGGCCUUACAUCGCACUCUCUGCUGGAGCUCCAUGGAUGCUCUUCAAUCUCCAUCAUCGAGGAUUCGAGGACCUAGUCGACAGGGUAUUGGCACUGCUAUCAGAUGAGCAAAAUGUGCCCAUCUUUUCUGCAUAUGGCCUCUAUAUCUUUGCCUCAAACUACUGCAUUUUUCAAUGUUCAAUAUUGGCUAGCCAUGCUUUUCAGUUGUGCUCAAGUCAUUAGAUUUGUUAUCCACAUCUAUGCCAUAGAGUAUAGAUCAUUUCUAUAUCUGUUGUCAUGGUUCGUGAUUAAUUUGAUCAUAGAUAGGCAAUAAUACUCUACUAAUUAGGCAAUGAUGUACCAUCUCAAAAAAAUUCAGGUAAUGUGCUGUGAAUUUUUUUGGAUUCAGUUUUGGAUGUGGGGAUGUUUGCUGGAAGGACAUAUUUGGGGCUGGAAGCACUUAUGCUGCCCCCUCACACAGACCUCUAUUUUUUUUCUCUUUUGUGUUUUUGAUUUUUUUUACAUCACCCCUGACGCGUUAAUAGAUCUUAAUAAGGCACUUACGAUUCAGUAAUCAUGUAAUUUGACAAAACAAAAUCCUAUAGUUGUAUUGAAGUGAAUGAAUUACCUUUGUGUUGUAAAUGGAUUAAAUGAGAACAUACUGGUAAUGAAAUGGGAUUGGUUUGUGCAUGGUUGGUAAUAGAGUAAAAUCAGUUUAUCAAAGGCUUUCCAUUGUUUGUAACAUGCUAAGGGAUUUUUUUUUGCUGUUCACAUCUGUAUUGAAACCUCGGGCUUAUUAUAUCAUCCCAAAAAAAUAUUUCAUAUUUAUGAUUCAAGGGAUGAGAGCUGGAACUUGUUUGCACUUCCUUUUCCCACCAUUAACUGAGUUGUGAUUGUAGGGAGCUUGGAUCUUGUACGGGAGCAAUAGAUACAUGUCUCAACCAAUAUAUGUCUAAUGAAGAAAAAAUAGUCAUCAACAGAGCACGUGCUUGGAUCAUUUUGGGUAAACAUCACGGCCGUGAAUCGCAGGUCAUGUGCAGCGAAGCAAAGGCCAAUUAUAAGCAGGGUGUAUCUAGUGGUUACGUGAUGAGACAAUGUUAUUGUGAAUCUGUUUUUUGCUUGUAUAUUUACUCUAAUUUGCUUCAAAUCAAUCUAUUUUAUUUGUUGUACAUUUGUUCUAAAUUGCUUUGGAGUUUAUUAUGAUAUGCUUUCAACUUCAAGCAAUAUUGCUUUUGGAACUUUAUGAGAAAAAUAUCAUCGAAACAUAUUGAAGUGAGAUCUUGUUUUGAUGUUUUUGUUGAGGGCAACUUAAUGGUGCAAUUAGAUUUUAAUUUUGA